UACGAAGGGGGCUAGCGUUGUUCGGAAUUACUGGGCGUAAAGCGCGUGUAGGCGGGUCUUUUAAGUCAGGGGUGAAAUGCCAGGGCUCAACCUUGGAACUGCCUUUGAUACUGGAGACCUUGAGUCCGGGAGAGGUGAGUGGAAUUGCGAGUGUAGAGGUGAAAUUCGUAGAUAUUCGCAAGAACACCAGUGGCGAAGGCGGCUCACUGGCCCGGAACUGACGCUGAGACGCGAAAGCGUGGGGAGCAAACAGG
rnacentral:rRNA from 1 species